rnacentral:tmRNA from 1 species
GGGGUCGGUCCAGGUUCGACAGGCUUCCAAAACCGCGCGGAGCAGGCCGCAGCGCCCGUGGCUGCGUUACCAACGGGCAAACCGAUAAGCGCCAAGCCUUCGGUAAUCCCAUACCCCUCCUUGCCCCCCAUGCUUCGCAUGGUCGCCUAGGAGGAAUCGCCCGGAGAGUGCCCGAGUAGUAUCCGGGGGAUCAAAACUCGGGGGCCCCUGAGGGCCAGGCCACACCGAACCAACCUCCUGUGCCAAACAAAGCCUGUAUAGCGCCGCGCGUGGAGGGAGCUUGGACGGGGGUGCAACUCCCCCCGACUCCACCA